rnacentral:lncRNA from 1 species
GGGCCACUCACUAUUAUCUGUUCCUGUGCACCUUUUCCUUCCAUUGGAUGCUACUGUAGUCCAAACCUUAACUUGCCUUCUUCCUGGAUUUCUGCUUUGCUUUCCCACUGUGUCUAUAUCAAACUAUUUCCUACACUGCCAAGUCAAUAUUUGUUGAAGGAAAAAUUAGAAGUCUCAUGAAGUUAGUCACCAUAACCAGGAUAAGACUCAUAGUCAUUGGAAAAAUCACAAUGCCCAUAGUGUUCCGAGGGCUUAAUAGGUUCAGUCAGAAUUCAGGCCAGAGAAAAAACAGUUGCCAAGGGAAACAAGUGGGUUCCCAGUGUAAUACAUUAGAAAUAAACAUGGAAUGGCAGGGCUCGUCGCAGGAUUUCUCAUCCUUGGUACCCCUGACCUUCUGGAUGAAAUAAUUCUUCAUUGUGAGGGGUUUGCCUUUGCACCGUUCCACGCUUCGUAGCAUCCUGCUCUCUACUUCCGAGGAGUACACAUCACAACAAUCAAAAUUCACCUCCCUUUGUGUAGAAAUCACCCUGCUUGAAAACAACAGAU